rnacentral:lncRNA from 1 species
UCACAUAGUUAAACUUGAGUCAAGAAUAUUUGGGGGUCAAAAGUCAAUUUACCCAUCCGAUGGAUGGGAUGGAGGUGUAGAUACAUCCAUAUCAUCGAAUGAGAUGUGUAGGAAUAAUUUGCUCAAGAAUCGGAGGAGUAUAUCGAAAUAUAUCUCUUUGUACCAAUUUAGGCUUCAAACGGGAGGAAGAUGGCAUCUAGGGGGUCAAAAUUCAAGCUAAAAAUUUGAUGGAUAGGCUGAAGGCAUUUACAGCUUCGUAUCAUCAAAUAAAAUAUAUAAAAAUAAUCCAUUCGAGAAUUAGAAGAGUAUAUCGAAAUAUAUCUUUUUGUGCCGGUUUAGGUUUCAAGCAAGAGGAAAGAAAAAUUCAGUUAGUCAAAAUUUAAGCUAACCAUCUGAUGGACUAGUCGGGGCUAUCUAUAGCUCCAUAUCAUUGAAUGAAAUAUGUGGAAACAAUUUGUUCGAGAAUUAAAA